rnacentral:tRNA from 1 species
GGUUAGAACGCCGGCCUGUCACGCCGGAGGUCGAGGGUUCGAGUCCCUUCGUGGUCGCCA